UGUUUGCAGGGGUGGGCUGCACUCCACCUCUCCUGCUGCAUUGGGACAGAAGCUUCCUGUCUCUCCCUGAUGGACGUCAUUACAAGCCCCAGAUCUUCAGUCAAAAGUGAUGUCAUCGAUUUCUAUCCACCAGGGACUAUGGAAAAUAUUCUACUGCUGCAAGGAUUAUGCUAUAGAGACUAUGGGCCAAGUGGGGUGAGGGGCAACAGAGGACAUUUACAGUGAACAUCAGAUCAAUAAAGCGGAUGGCAAGUGGGCUUCAAGUGACGCUGCUGCAUUCGGCACCUGUCUACUGGACAUGAAGUCUGGUGUUCUUACAAGAAGACAUGUAACAUCCUCCCACCAUAAUUACCUAAAUAUCUGUAUUUUUAGGUUCCCAAAACUUUUGCAUGUAUGUUUUACUAAUAAUACAGUGGUUUUAUAUAUGGUUCUUUAUUGUAAUUGACAGAAACUGUGGUUCUAGAGACAUGAAAAGCUAUGGUGUAAGUAUACGUCAAGAUUGCAAGAAUUUGACAAGCCAGAAAAAUAUCAUCACCAUACUGUAUACUACUGGAAAUAAAUUUCCUAGUAAGUAUUUGGAAACUGAGAUGUUCAGUAGACUACAGUUUAGUUGUUUAUUUAUUAGUCAUGUGUGUUUCAGAGCCUUUGUCAGUUUUAUUAAUGUUUUUUAAGUAUAGCUAUUGCCCGCAAGAACCUAGGUAUUACAACUGGGUUCCUGUAAGUGCGAGAUACUUCCACGGAGAAAAAUGAAAGUAACAUCUGACUCAGGACCCCUACUGGAUACAGAUUUGUUUUGUCUUUAAGCCUUUAAAAUCCUUUCAUUUAGGUGUGCGUGGGGAUUUGAAAAUCAAAGGAUUUGUUACUCAUCGUUAAUUAUGUAAUAUCAGUACAAUUCCUUGUUUUGAAAAAAAUAAAAAUUAAAUUUUA